AUUGAACGCUGGCGGCAUGCCUUACACAUGCAAGUCGAACGGCAGCAUGAUCUAGCUUGCUAGAUUGAUGGCGAGUGGCGAACGGGUGAGUAAUACAUCGGAACGUGCCCUGUAGUGGGGGAUAACUAGUCGAAAGAUUAGCUAAUACCGCAUACGACCUGAGGGUGAAAGUGGGGGACCGCAAGGCCUCAUGCUAUAGGAGCGGCCGAUGUCUGAUUAGAUAGUUGGUGAGGUAAAGGCUCACCAAGGCGACGAUCAGUAGCUGGUCUGAGAGGACGAUCAGCCAGACUGGGACUGAGACACGGCCCAGGCUCCUACGGGAGGCAGCAGUGGGGAAUUUUGGACAAUGGGGGCAACGCUGAUCCAGCAAUGCCGCGUGUGUGAAGAAGGCCUUCGGGUUGUAAAGCACUUUUGUCCGGAAAGAAAUCGCACUUACUAAUAUUAGGUGUGGAUGACGGUACCGGAAGAAUAAGGACCGGCUAACUACGUGCCAGCCGCCGCAGUAACAC
rnacentral:rRNA from 1 species